AUGGAAGACAAAGAAUCAGCGCAAAGAAAAGGGACGCUUAUUCGGCAUGUAUGCAUUGGCAAAGAUGCAUGCUGCUUAGGUCGAGAACAUGGGACUGACAGAUGCAUCCAAGCAACCAUCAUUGGUGUCAAUACCCACCAGGUGGAACUUCGCUUGGUCUUCCUCGCUGCUGAUGGUAACUCCAUCCCUGAAGCACAUAAUAUGUAUGGAUCAUACGUACAAAUGAGAAAACUAGUACUGCUUCCUUUCACGAAUUGUUUUCUUGCAAGGCACUUACGAUGUUGGAAGAAGUUUUGCUUUGGACAUGCAAAACGAGGCAUUGUCAUUCUGGAUUCCAAAGCCUCUGCAAAUGUGAUCUUUUGA
rnacentral:rRNA from 1 species